GCAAAAUGAAAAAGGGAGCUUGACACAAAAUGUCAGCUGGAUAUUUUUUAUUACACAAUCACAACAUACACACACACACACAUCCCUCGCAUUCUAGCACCUUCAAAAAUGCCCAGAAGCAGACUAUGCUUUUGUUUUAGUUUCCGCUCGACACCCACACACACACACAGACAAACAAUAUUUUCGGGCACUCCACACAUAAGCCACAAAGUAGUUACUUUUUAUGAUCCUCGCCCGCACACAUACAUACUCAUAAUUGGGCUUGGGCCCAAACUCUGAUUGUUUUCCCCCAAAACGUCUCUGAAGCUCCUCUUAUGGAUGACAUACGACGCACUUUUCGGUGCUCCUUGGGUGCGAGAGCGAUUCAACAUCUACAUUUCGUUAUAAAUGACUUUCAAAGGGCCUAAACGUUGUAAAUGGUCUAAGUGCGUGUUUCUGGCCAAGGCAUCGUCAUCAGCAUUGAGUUUAAACGGACGGCGGCAAUCAAUAGGCCAUGAUAAUUUAUGGCGAUUAUGCUGGCCAAAAGCGGAGAAAGUUGUCCAAGAAUAUGACUUAAUAUUAAACUUUGAUUUUGCUGUGACAUCUUUAUUAAGAAAAUUUAAGUUCAUUUAUUUUGAUGUCUUCAUAAAA